CCUUUCCAGCGUCCGCGCUUGUUCGGACUGUGUUACGCUGUGCUGCGGGUUCCGGGACGAUGGGUGGCCCGGGACAACGGGUGGCCUGGGCCUCACGGCCGCCUGGCCUCCGAUGGUCGGGGUGCCGGGCAGGGGCGCGUGGCUGAAUGGUGCCCGGCGCGGCCGGGCCCGGUCCGAGGGUCCCGGUCCCUGAAUGCAUGGAGGGCAGUGGACUGGUCUGGCCCCGCGCCACGUUGUUCGUGGGACCUCAGGCGGCCCCGGCCUGCGUUCCCACGCCGGCAGAUCGGGCAGUGGGGUUGAGGACAUUUAUUGGUCAUCGGCUGUAUGUCAGGGGCUUUUUAAUAGAAGUGAGAAUUUCUUGCAUGUGAAAGGGAGGGCCUCACCGUAUAACUGCACCUAUGCCUACCGUGUCAGUGUGACAUCGGGUCAACGCAGAAGUAAAGUGCCAUUUAAGGUUUAGAUUUGACAACCGUCUCAGGGUGCAGAACUUGGCGGCAAUCUAGUAUCACCAACUUUGCAGGUGAAAAUGGAUGCUUGAAGCAGACUGCUGCUAGCUGAAUACUUAACUAUCUGGAAGCACAAAGAUGGCCUAAGGAUGUCCUUGGUGAGGAAUUUGAAAACUUGAUCUUCAGGAGCUGCUUAGAUUAUUUAAAAUUUCCAGGAAUGAUAAAAUUACUGUUUUGGACAGUCCGUAAGUGUAUGUAUAAAACAGUGGGGCCAUAAAUAAAGAAAUUUAGUGUGCUUCUUGAAGGUUUGUAUGAUAAGGUGAUUAACUGCCAGAAAAUAGUGUGCUUUCCCUGAAAGAUCAAAGGGUAUCCUCCCUUCCCUCUUCUCCCAGCAACUUGAAAAUUACAUUAAAUCCCAUCAUUUAAGAUUAAUAUUCAGUGCUAUCAGUGACUGAUACAGUUUUAUGAAAUACAGGAUUAUGCUAGGCAGGAGAAAUAAGUGCUUCCUUCUAGUGCCUCAUAUAUGAUGAGCUGAACUACACUGGUUGGUUUCUAGGUCACAGGUAUGCUUUAUAUUGUUACCGCAUUAUUUGGAGGUGGGGGUGUAAUUAGGUUAUUUAAUUCUUUUUUUUUUUUAAUGGAAGUACUGGGGGUUGAACCCAGGACUUCAUGCAUACUAGGCACGCACUCUGCACAUGAGCUAUACUCUCCCUUGCGUUACUUUUUUUUUUUUUUUCUUACUAAGCAUGUCAUCUGCUUUCACUUCACUGGAAAGAACAAAUAUUGUAUUUGGGCAUUCAAAAUAUUUAUUGAAAGCUGUAGUAGGAGUUGGGGACACGAUGGUGUGCAGAAAUAGUUCCUUUGGAAGCUUACAGUUGAAUGGAGGAAAUGUCAUCACAGUUAAAUGUGAGAUAAGUUCCAUGCAUGAUAGGAUUUGACCAAAUCUGGGAAACCUGACAAAGCAGUUGAGACUGUCGAAAGUCUCAUUUUUGCAAGGCAGAGUUGAUUCCAUGCCAUGUACAGAGACCUUAGCUAAAAAAUGGGUAUGACCGUAAGUCUAGAUUUCUGACUGUUGUGACUUCUUUCCCUCUUAAGUACCCUCAUUUAGACAAGCAUUGAGUGCUUAAUGAAGUUUGAAGGUGGCCUUUAUGGCAGCUGUGGGUGUUAUAAAAUAAAAUGAGGCUGAAAACCAGUAAGGCUCUGUUUAAAGCAAGGGGAAAUCCAUGAUUAAAAAUGCAAAUUUGCAAGAAGAGGGGUGCUGGUGAGCCAGUUGGAGGCCAACUGCAAGAGGUAACCACCUUGGAGUAAGGUGGUGGUAAAAUUAAGGAAGCGAGAACUAGAGCAGGCGGGACUCCAUAGUAGAGGAUGUGUCCAUAAUGACUGCUAGGUGUGUAGUCUUGUACAUUCCCAAGCAUCAUAGCCCAAAUCCAGCUGGGGACCAGCGUUCUGAACUAGUUAAUUUGAAUUGCUUUAGAAAUCUAAGUGACCUCUUAGUAGAACAUUGGUCUGUAAUCUAAGUAAUAGAAAUAAACCUUAAGGCCGUAGGAAUAAAUGCCAUCCACUGCAGUAGAGAAAGAGGGCCUAGGUUUGAGAAACUCUUAACUGAAUUGUGAGGUAGAAUAAAGUAAGCCGCAAAGGAUAGAAUGGUUGAAACAAUGGGAACUACAUGAAAGAAAAUAGCAAGGCAGCCUAAAAGUUAACCUUGGGAUUUGUUGACAUGAAGGUGAUUAUAGUGGGGCCUGCCUUGGUGGAGAUGUUUUAUCCAUAUUAGAGGUGGUCUGAGAUAAGACUUAAGGUUAGGGCACUGGCUA